UACCUUGCUAAGUGCACUUGCUUCGGUGAGUGGGUUUUGGCCUCCAGUCCAGGGAAGCAGAUAGGUUCUUAAGAAGAGGAAGCACUGUCCACAUGGUAACACCAGGUCAUGCAGAUCCUCUGGAUCCCAUAUGACAAUCCUGCAGCCCUGAGACAUGGUAUUUUGCAUUAGACUUUUCUUCCAGAUGAAUUGCCCUUAACACAUGGGUGAAGCCUGUCAUCUGGUUCAGGGAUGCCAGAAGUGCCUGCUGCCCUUUACUCGUCCUGAUGUAGCUGAAAGAGCAGCCUGGCUUCCCACAGGUGAGAUUCUUUUACUCAAAUAUAAGGAAAGGGAAGAGCAGUGAAAGCCAUCAGCCGUGCAUGGCAGACCAAGGACUUAUUGAUGGAAGGAUCAGUAUUGCUUGGGAUGUCUAAAAUCUCCCUUCAAAUCCAAGUAAGCCUUAGAAAAAGCCAUGAGAGUUUGAGCAACUAAACCUUUACAGAAAUAAAAUUAAGCUGCAUUUUAACA
rnacentral:lncRNA from 1 species